GUCUCUGGAUAGGGGUGCCCGCCGACCGUGGCGGGCUGAGAGCGCCCGGCGCAACCCUGGAACCUGAUCCGGUUAACACCGGCGGAGGAAACGCCAGAGCGUGCCGU
rnacentral:ncRNA from 2 species